rnacentral:snRNA from 1 species
UUUCCUUCUUCCACUUGCUAAGAUCAAAGUUUAGUAUCUGUUCUUAUCAGCGUAAUAUCUGUUACGUCCUGCAUCGUAGCACUAGAAUAUUAAACUCAUUUUUGGCUCAUGACGGAGUCCUAGGGACUUGCUCCACUUCUGUUGCGGGUUGGCCCGGCAUUGCAGUACUCCUGGAAUCGGCCCACGUAAA